UACGUAGGCAGCAAGCGUUGUUCGGAAUUACUGGGCGUAAAGGGCGUGUAGGCGGCCAACUAAGUCCGACGUGAAAAUCCCCAGGCUUAACCUGGGAACUGCGUCGGAUACUGGAUGGCUUGAAUCCGGGAGAGGGAUGCGGAAUUCCAGGUGUAGCGGUGAAAUGCGUAGAUAUCUGGAGGAACACCGGUGGCGAAGGCGCAUCUGGACCGGCAUGACGCUAAAGCGCGAAAGCCAGGGGAGCAAA
rnacentral:rRNA from 1 species